AUUGCUUCUCGGCCUUUUGGCUAAGAUCAAGUGUAAAAAUGUAUUGAAAUUACAUCUCAAAUAAAUUUCAAAUGAACUAAAAAUGUAAACUUGUACUCAGGUGUAAGAAAAUCUCUGACUAUAAGACCACCA
ensembl:snRNA U2 U2 spliceosomal RNA